GGGUCAGUAGGUUGGUCGUGCCACCGGUACGUACUGGUCUCACUGAUUCCUCCUUCCUGAAGAACCGUAAUGCCAUUAAUUUGGUGUUGCGGGGAAACAGGACUGUUACUUUGAAAAAAUUAGAGUGUUUAAAGCAAGCUAACGCUUGAAUACAUUAGCAUGGAAUAAUGAAAUAGGACGAUCGAUCCUAUUUUGUUGGUUUCUAGGAUUGACGUAAUGAUUAAUAGUAGUUGGG
rnacentral:rRNA from 1 species